AAAAAAAAAAACAAAAAAACAACAAGGAAGUAGGGAGACCAGUCUCCACGUAUAUCCAUGGAGGGCAGGGGAUUGUUGAAAGUAGGUGAAAACGUGAGUUCAUGUCUAGUAUAUGAUAAUGUUUUGUGAGAUAAGUGCAAUAGACCUUCUACAUGACUGCUGUGUUUGAUGUUCAGCACGCAUUUGAAAAACUCUGUGGACUUUGUUUUUAUCAAAGUCAGUAGCAUAGUGAGUUCAGCUAGAUAAUGGGCAAACUUACCAACAAAGCAUGACUGCAUUGUUGUAUAUUAAAGUCAUAAUCAGAAACAAAUGUUUGAAAACAACAUAAAAAUAAAUAUUAUCAUUAAUUUGGCAGUCUCAUUGUGGGAGGCAACAUAAAUACCUAGAAAUUUGGAGCAAUUAAGUCAUUGUGGCCUUAAUUAGCGUUUUUAAAUGGAUGAACAAAUUUAAAUAAACUUCAAAUUCCCCUUCCUCUUUUAUUCUUACCAGAAACAAUCAAUAUUGUCCAUUAUGCCAAGAAGAUACGAGGCUAGUUUGCUCUGUUAGACUUGUAAUGAAUUGUAUCUGUAUCUAUGGGACAAUAGUUUCAAAGAAAUUUCACCACAUUAUCUCAUUUGAAGUUUGCAGAAACGUGUCGAUUAUCUUUUCAUCCAUUUUAUCAAAUAUGAAAUAAAACACAGAUGAUGAUUUCUUCCAAAGUCUUGACUAUGGGACAUUAGAACAACUACUAAUUAGUAGCUACUGAGGCUCUGACUCAGUUUCCAGUGCUGGUUUAGUACCUUGCCACCAUGUUGUUAUCUAGUCCAAAGUUCCUCGAACCUCAAACUAUGAACACAGAUUAACUUAUACUCAACAUGAAUUUCCAGUCUAGCACAUGAUCCUGAAUUACAUUCUGAGCUCAAAGGAAUGUAAGAAUUGCCAUACUGACCCAUCCACCCCACUAUUGUCUUGCUGAGACACUUUCCUGGGAAGAAAGCAAUCUGAAGUAAUCUUUAAACUUCAGGUAUAUUUCAGCUUUAGUAUAAAUUUAGGGCUUUUCCUCUUGCACAUGUCUAUAGGAGAAAGACGACAACAUUUUGCUUAAUCCUGCAAUUCCUUAUUCUAAUAGUUUGGUGGUGGUUACUUUCAAAAGAGUUUGAGUAAUUAAUAGAAUUGUCUAAACUUUUGCUACUCAGGGAGGAUCUGUGGAGCAGCAGCAUUGGAAUUACCUGAGACCUUAUGAGAAAUGCAGACUACCGGGCUCCACUUCAUUCUUAGUGAGUCACAAGACUCACUAAGAUCUUAACAAGAUCCUCAGAUAACUGAUUAUCUUGUUCUGGUGAUUUUAAUAUUGACUCGAUGGUGCUGUUUUUCUGCUUAAAUCUUCAUUAAAUAAAAAUCUUUUGGCUUUCUUCUGAGACACUGGAAGCUAGGAUAUGUAAGUACAAUUUGACUGUAGAGAAGCCACUGCACAUUUGAACCUCCUUGACGGAUUGUCUAACGAGGCCCGAGGGUGGGAUUUCGUUUGUGAUUAAUUCCUCCCUCAAAUAUAUUUCCCCCUAAAGCUGUGAGUGCAGGUUAAGUACUGCAUGCCUGCUUCACAAAUGUUUGUGUUCCACCAUAAGCAGCUUUUGUUGAAAGUAGUUCUUUGUAGUUUUUAAUCAAAUCAUCAGAAAUACAAUUUGAAUUGGAUAGCAACAUGCUUCAGAACUGUGCUGGUUGCUUCUCAGGAAUUAAGAAUGUAGAAUUAAGGCACUGUAGAAAGACAGAUGGGAAAAGAGAUUUAAACAAAUCCACAAGUGAUAGAAGACAAUUGUUCACUUUAGAGAUACCAUCUAUCACAUAAAUGACUUUGGGGGCAUUUUUGACAUUUACUAAAGUGCCAAAUAUGGAAACAGAAUGAGACAUGUGAAUGACAGAGAAAUAAAUCAAAAAAGCAAUUUAAAAAAAGUCAGUAAUUCUGACAUUUUCAGGUAAUAGGAUUUACAAUUGAUUAAUCAUUACAUAUGAUCUCAUUUUUGGGUCAACUUCCAGGUGCAAAGUAGUUUAGAAAUUUGACUACUCUUAAGUCAUUUCAGAGAAAUACUCACUUUCAUAACUACACUGAUGAAAACAAUUUAAUGUAUUAUAUAAAUAUCCUAGAUUUUCUUGAAUCUAGAUUUUAAAAUUAUAUAACAGGAUUCCUAAAUAUUCAGAAAUUAGAAAGGACAGAUAGAUAUACUCCUGGUGUGCCACAGUGUGCCAGGAGAUUAAUGUAUUGAGAGCUCACAUUUCACUUGAAUUAGACUUCAGAAUUAUGUUGUCUACUUAAUUAAAAUAUAUUACUGACAAAUUAUGAUUUAACUCUCAAAUGCAAACCUAUCUCUAAGGUCUGGGUCAUUUUUCAAGGUCUUAUGAAGAAAUAUGUUGAUUGGGCACUGAAGGGUUAAUUUUAGACCAGGGUCAGUUAGAGGCCACACCAUCAGAAACACCACCAGAUAUUUAAGGUUGCUUCAGCUGUAGUCUUCACCAGGACACCGUCCUAGCCCGAGAGCCUGGACGUUGGUGCCUGGAGCCGGGACUGGCCAGCAGACCAGACCUCCCAGCCUCCUGUACUUCCUUCUAUUAUCUUAGUCCCCUUUGUCCCAGCUCUGACUGUGUGUGUUCAAAGCCCCAUUCUGUUGGUCUGAUCCCCUAGCCCAAAGACUCCCUUCUCUUCACUCUAUUUCCAAAUCCGAUAACCCAGCUUUAGAGGCUCAGUAGAAAAAAACAAAGCCCUGGUGCCAAUGUUACUAACUGCUCUCCUUCUAACCCCUUCUCAUCCUACCCCUUCAUUAUGUGUGGUUUUAUGGCUCAGAGAAUAUGGAAUCAAAAUCAUACACUCCUUCCAGAAAUGUCAAUUAUUGAACUGAGUCUAGGGAGCAUCUGGGGAGUUUUUAUUUUAUUCUUGAGCUUCUAGUGAUUAGUUGAGCCAAGCUGGCUAAAAAGGGAGAAAAACAUAUUAAUAGAAUGGCAAAUGGAAGAGUCGUGAUUCAGGCAGUCUUGCCUUUCAAAAAGACACUGAUUUCUAACAUUAUCCCUUUUUUUUUUUUGAGAUGGAGUUUCAUUCUUUUUGCCCAGGCUGGAGUGCAGUGGCGCAAUCUCGGCUCACUGCAAUCUCCGUCUCCUGGGUUCAAGUGAUUCUCCUGCCUCAGCCUCCCGGGUACUUGGGAUUACAGGCACUUGCACCAUGCCCAGCUAAUUUUGAAUUUUAGCAGAGACAGGGUUUCACCAUGUUGGCCAGGCUGGUCUUGAACUCCUGACCUCAGGUGAUCCGCCCUCCUCGGCCUCCCAAAGUGCUGGGAUUACAGGCGUGAGCCACUGUGCCUAGCCCUAACAUUAUACUUUUAAAAACUGUUAACCAAUGUCCAAAAUGUUUAUUCUUACCCAUGUGAAAAGCAGUGAUUUGUCUAAAUAUUCACAUUAUAAUUGUACUUCAUUAUUAGCACUGAGCACUUUGUAUAUUGUGCUUCUGGGAAUGCACAGACAGCAUUGCUAGAACCAAACUGAAAGCUAAAAGGGCAACAAGUAAUUUACAAACAAGAAUUUAGGAUUUCCUCAGUUUGGUAAUGCUUUAAAAAAAAAAAAACAACUUACUGACUUGAACCUCAUCCAAGCUUCAUAGGCUGCCACAAGACCCCCUCUUCCCCUUUGCUCAGCUCUUCAAUGCUACAUCAACUUCUGGACAGCCCUACUGGACAGCAAGCACAAAUGACUGCUCAAAUUUGGAGUGUUGAAUGAUUUGAAAAUAAUGUUCCCGCAAUUUGGAACCUGUAGACUAAGUUGUUUCAGAGGAAAUAAUAAAACCCUCUUCAGGCGCUUUUAAUAAGUGUUUAACUAUCUGCCAUUCUAGUUAUCAGUCAGCUCUUAAAAGCAAUUUCACAGGGUCCACAGAAAAUAGACAACCCCAAAAUGAAGAGUACUGAUACUUUAAUGUAAAUACAAGAUCAGACCUAGUGUUGCAGCUUUGGGAUAAAUUCUUCCCUGGUGAACAGAUCCAAGUUCUAACCAAUUAAGAAUAUUCCUCUUCUUUGAAUAAUUAAGUAUCCAUUUGAAAGAAGAGAUAAUCAUAAAAUGAUUAUAACAGAAAGUAUUAUUUUUUUCUUUUCUUUUUUUAUACAUGGUUUCACUCUAUCACCCUGGCUGGAGUGCAGUGUCACAAUCAUGGCUCACUGCAGCCUUGAACUUCUGGGCUCAAGUGAUCCUCUUGCCUUGGUUUCUGACAGUGUGGGUAUUACAGGCAUGAGCCACCACACUCAGCCCUAUUUUUUCUUUUUUAACAGACAUUAUAGGACAACAUCUUUCAUUGUGACAUUUAAAAGACAACAUUCUCUUCAUACUUUAAUGUGGUUACAGUUAGUUUUUUUCUGGUUUCUGUUUUUGCUUUAAAUUUGCCCUAAUGUCCUUCAGGAAAUACUGACUUGUACAUUUUAGGAAACAUAAUUUUUCUUAGUGACCUUUUGGUAAGUGGCUGACUUCAAGUUCAGUCAUCCACAACAUGACCCUAUGAUAUUAUGAAAGCCAUGAAACAUAAACUAAAUAAUGUGACACUAUGUUCAAGACAUUAGUUGUUACUGCCAACUAUUUCUUUUUUUAAUUUUACACUUAUUCCACAAAUACUUAUUGAAUACCCAUUAUGUGUUGGAUAUAAUGUGUUGGUGCUUAGGGAUAAACAAUCAAUAAGAAUAAAUUCCUCCUCUCAAUGAGUUUGUAUAUGGAAGCACAUAACAAAGUAUAGUUUUGAAUUUUGAGUUGUUUCAUUCCCAUCAUACUUGGAGAUUUUUGAGGAGGAUGAACAAUGCUACACUGUUAGAAAUGUGCAUGGUCAAAAAACAAGUAUUAAAGAUAAGAAAUAAAUACUUUUGGUAACUUCUGACACAAAGAUUAAUUUAUAUAUUGGCACCUGAGCUUUCUCCACUCUAAAACUUGCUAAAAAAAAAAAAAGAAAAAAACAGCUUAAUUACAUAAAAACUUACAUGAAGAAGUAAGCGGAGUUUCUACAAACAGUAAGACCAUCUGGUAAUUUAUUUUAUGUACAUGACACAAGCACACAGGUAUGAAUGAAGCUCUCUGGUAAAAUUGUUGCUCUCUUAAUGCUCAAGGAAUUUUUAAGAAUUAAUAUAAGAAUAGAGUGGUGGUAUUUUGAAUUCCCUAUAAGAUAUAUACUUUUGCUAUAAGGCAGGCUUUCACAUUUCUUUUAUUAACUGUCAUUUUCUUGCCUAUGUUUUGCUGAUACACAUCAUGAAAGGAAAAAGAGGAAAAAGAGGACUUGGGACUAAAAUGGGACCCUCUCAUGCAAAUCUAUGCUUUCUCUUAGACUGGAACUAUUUGCUGAUCAGAAAUGGCAAAACAGGUUUGUUUGAGAACUGUUAGUUCAAACACAGUACCAGAUUGUAUUCAUUUUCUAUUGCUGCUAUGAAAAUUUACCACAAACUUUGUGGCUUGAAAUAACAUAAAUUUUUUAUCUUAAUUUGUAGAUUAGAGUUCAACAUGGGUCUCACAGGUUAUAAUAAAUGUUGGCAGAGCUAAGUUUCUUUCUAGAGGUGCUAGAAGAUAAUCCAUUUUCUUUCAUUUUCCAAUUAUGGAAGCCAUCUGCAUUUCUCAGUUUGUGUCUUCUUUCUUCCAUCUUCAAAGCCAGCAAUGGUGGAUUGAAUCCUUCUCAUAUCACAUCACUCUGACCUCCUUUGUCUUCCUCUUCCACUUUUAAGAACUUGUGAUUACACUGAGCCCACCCAGAUGAUCCAGGAUAAUCUCCCUAUGUGCUGUUUAGCAAUCUUAAUUCCAUUGCAACCUUAAUUCCCCUUUGCCAUAUAAGGUAACACAUUCACAAGUUCUAGGGAAAGGACAAGGACAUCAUUUGGGGAGGGGCAUUAUUCUGCCUACCACAUGAAUAUUUUAAUCGGUUUCUGAAAAAGGAUCCCAAGCAUUUCUGACUUGUGUCUUCAUGGCCAUGCCCUCCUGUGAGCACUGAAAGAGGAGACCAGUGAAGUUCAUAUAUAAGUUCACAAGGAGAUACUUAAGGUACACUCUGUUACAACAAGCUCUUUCUCAUAGCUGUCAGUAUUGGAAGAAUAACCAACAUUCUUCAAAACGAAGUGAAACUAUCCUUCAGAAUUGAGCAGAAGGAGAGAGAAGACCAUUUGAUAAAAUGUGGACAUGUGAAACUUUCACGUAUGAAUUAAGUUCAGAUCAAAACUCCCAAGUUAGUCAAACGAGAUUCCAAGAUACAGAGAAGGUAAAAUUAAAUAUAUAUAAACCAUUUCUACUAACUGGAGGACAAUCUUUGCAUUUUAAGUUGAUUAAAACUGUGUUAUUUUGCUGUGUGUAUAAGCUGUGAAACACAUUGCAGAGCACUGAUUUCUUCACAACUCUUGGAAAAGAUAAGAAGCAUCGCUUUUCAAUAGUUCCAAAAGUCUAAAUUGGUCUCAGAACAGGAGUCAAUCCCCUGAGGUCCCUGGGUUAACUUAUGGGAAGGACUGCAUGAUUUGUUUCUGUGAUAUAUUAAAAAAAAAAAAGUUUGUUCUUUGUCUCCAGUUCUUGGCACAAAGCCUCUAAAACUCUUGGAAUUUCCUGAGUGAUAGGAGUGCAUUUUUUUUUCAUUUGUAAGGAGCCGCUUUAAUCACACCUGAUUUUAUACUACUAAGCUGACUUUGGUGGGCUUUUAGAUAACUUCAAGAUGGGGGCUUGCAGCCAGAGGAACCCACCAUGUGAUUAGAGAAUUGGAACUUUCAGCCUACCCCACAACCCCAGGGAGCAAGAGAGGUUGGAGGUUGGGUUCAAUCACCAAUGGCCAGUAAUUCAAUCAAUCAUGUCUGUGUAAUGAAACCUCCUUAAGACCCUAAACAAUAGGGUUCACAGAGAGUGGCACACCCAGAGAGGGCAGGGGAGCUCUGUACAGCACCCCCUUCCAAUAUCUUGUUUUAUGCCUCUCUUCCAUUUGGCUGUUCCUGAGUCGUAUCCUUCAUAGUAAACCAGUAAUAGUAAAUAAAAGUGCUUUCCUGUGUUCUAUGAGUCAUUCUAGUGAAUUACCAAGGCUGAAGGCGAAUUAUGAGAACCCCCAAAUUUGUAGCCUGCUCGGCAGAAAUGUGGUAGCAUGGGCAUCCCAUUUGUGGUUGGUAUUUGAAGUAGGAGCAGUCUUAUGGGGCUGAGCCCUUAACCUGUGAGGUCUGAGCUAAGUCCAGAUAGUUUCAGAAUUGAAUUGAACUAAAUCAAAUUGUUGGACGCACAAUUGGUGUGGGAGGACUGGUGGGUGUGAGAGUAAACCUCUCAUUUGGUGUCAGAAAAUAUCCCAGAAAGAACCUGAAAGGUUACUUAGCCCAUUCUCUUUUCUAGGGAAAUGGAGAUCGUGAUCAAGUCUAUUUGAGAAUACUUCUAAUAAUUUGGUAGUUUUCUUUUCGUUCAUAAAAUUCUUACUCUUGAACUUGACUUGUUUUUUCUACUAAACUUAAGUUUGGGAAAAGACAUAAAAUAUCUUGUUUCAUUUUGUAAUCCACUCUUUUGGCUUUUCUGACCUGCACUAUUCCCUGAGGAUGAAACCAGCCACAAUAAACGAAGGACGUAUCAAUUCUAAUAGGAAUUCUCCCUUUUCAUUAAAAUUUCCUCUACUUUUCCAGAUUUGGUUUUCCUUUAAACUUAGUCCAAUUAACGGAAUGCUGAUGCUCAACUUUUCUCUUCUCCUUAAUCGUGUUUACUCACUGUUUCAGUCCUCCAAGAAGGUACAGUCAUGAAUAGCUUAACAAUGGGGAUACCUUCUGAGAUGGUAGAGCCUACUACACAUCUAGGCUAUGUGGUAUGGCCCGUUGCUCCUAGGCUGCAAAGCUGUGUAGCAUGUUACUUUACUGACUAUUGUAGGCAACUUAAUACAAUGGUCAGCAUCUGUGCAUGUAAACAUAGAAAAGGUACUGUAAAAAUAUGGUGUUAUAAUCUUAUGGGACCACCAUUGUAUAUGUGGUCCGUUGUUGACUCAAAUGUCUUUAUGCAGUGCAUAACUGCAUAUACAAUUUUCAAAUGCUGUUGGGACACAAGCUCAUCUUCAUCACACUCCAUCACACCUGACAAAGAAAUCUGUCCUGCUUCAGAUAACAUUGGAGAGCUGCUAGAAGAUAACCAGCAAUUCAGAAUUUUAGGAAGUGUCUCAUGGGGUAUAUAAUCUCUGGUAUGUAGCGAUUGGUCCGUGUCAAAUCUAUGUUUAGGAUUUUCAAGCAUUUUAUCUUUUGAAGGUAGCAGAUGCAGACAAAUUAGAAAAGUGCAAAUGGAAGAAUAAAAGAGAUUCCACACGGAAAUCAUCUACCUGUAAGUCACAAUAAUUCUCUUUUCUACUCUCUUCAAAAAACAAAAUAAAUCAGUAAUACUAGGUUUAAGUUACAGCCUACUCAGAGUGAGGAUAUUGGACGUAUUGGAAGUGGCUAUUUUCUAGAAUUUCUAGUUUCAUAGCUCCUUCUUAUUCCAUAUAUGAAUGAUCUUUUGACAUUUCCAUCUAUGAGGAAAAAUGUAUAUAUACAUACUCAGUUAUAUACUUAUAACUAUUAGAGUCACAAUGUUAUGUAUAUAUGAUUUAUUUUAUAUAAAAUUUAUAUUUGUCAAGUGGAAUUUAAUUUAUUAUGUUCAUAUUACUAUUUCCUCCCCAGGCUUUUAAAGCAUUUGAACUGUGGCAUGUGAUACAUUACGGCAUAUUAGAGAUUGGAUUGACUUGUACCUUUUAUCUUGCUCAGGCAGCAGUUGACAGCUGUGGAAACUUUAAUAUAUGUGCCCAAGGAAUCCAAUAUAAUAUCAGAGAAUGACUUAAACACAAGGGACUAUCUGGCUCAAUACGCAUCAGAUGCUAUAAUAUCUAUUCCAAAGUUCCACUUUCUAAAAUAUCUUCUCAAUGAGACAAAAUGCUCUAAUAAAAUUAAACUGUGUGAAAUAUCUAUUUGAAAUAAUAAAGUAAUAAAACAAUAAGCCUCCAAAAAGCAUAAAAAUCCCUUCUCAAAAGGAAAAUCCUAGCAAUAAACAAUUUUUUAGAGAAAAAAAUUAUAGAAACAUUGGUAACACUUGGAGAAAGCAAAGCUUUUAUUCUGUGCACUGAGGCUAAAUGAAAAUAAAUUAAUGAUGGUUUAACAAAACUAUAAGAAUAUUCUUGGGAAUAAAAAUGAAUAAAAAUUACAAUUAGAAAAAGCUUUGUAACCUCACAAAACUAUUAUGAACCAUAGGCUUAAGACUUGUUGAACAAAAAAUUUAAAAAAAAUUCUAGACUGAACUGUAAAAGGGUAAAAUAUUAAGCUAACUACUUUGUUAGACACAACAAAAUGUUAGAUAUGUAAAUUAGGAGCAAGUCUCCAAUAGACUGUAAGCUUCUUGAAGGCAGAGACCACAUCGUGGUAUUUCUGAUGUCUUACAUAGUACCUCAUUGACAGUGGAGGUACUGACUCUACCUCCUUGUUAUAGUACAAAUAGGAUGUACUGAGUUCUUACUGCGUGACAGAGACUGUGCUGAGUGAUUUUCAAGCAAUAUUCUGUUUAAACUUUAUAGCAACUCUAGAGUUUAAUACUGUUUUAUUAUCUUUACUUUCCAUGUAAGGAAACAAGAGGCAUAGAGGAAUUGAGUAACUUGCCCCAAAUGCUUAAAUAGAAGUAGCAAAGCAGAGAUUGUGAUUGGAAGACACACAAUGGGAACUAUUAUGUUACAGUGCCCUACCAAGUACUUCCUAAAUGAAGAAAUGAACAAAAAAAGAAGAGACUGUAUUCUCUUAUCAGCACCCAUUGUUCAUGAACUGAGGCAGUUUUGAAACAGUCUUAAGUAACUUGGGUUUCUGAAGUUCUACAAGGGAAUAAAAUGAAGCUCAUCCCUCAGUUACUUUAACUCAUAUAUAUUACUUUAAAUUAAAUGAUUUAGUCAUUUUAACUUAUGUGGGAUAUACUGAAGUGUGUACCUCAAUUAUUUUAACACAAAGGUUAAUUUAGGUUUUAAGGUAGUGUUGUGCCAGUAAAUGGCCUGUUUGGGAAAAAAAAAAGAGGUGCAGAUUUGUGUAAAUUUAUGUGGUGUAAAUACACUCACUGAGGCAAAGGAAAACUUCUUGGUAAAUAUCUUAAAUCUAUCACAUAAGGUUGCUCAGAUAAUCCAAGAAGAUGAUGAAUGUAAAAUUACUUAAUGAGCUCUAAAGUGCUAUUCAAAUUGAAGAUAUAACUAUUAUAGUGCACAGAGAGGGAAGAACUCUUCUCACAUUCAGUUGUUCUAUAACAUAAGAAGCUUCUCAAGUAGGGAAUGUAAUUUUGAAGUAGAGAAUGUGAAGUCCUACAUUUUGAUCAGAUGAGGAAUGCGUGCACGUUAUGUAGAAGAAGUAUUAACUUGCUGCUUGCCAUCCAAAGAACUUUUGGACUUCAGAAAAUUGCAGGCAUGGACAUGCACAUUUAUACUUAUAUUUAGCACCAGGCUCACCACAUACUUUUGAUAAAGAUUUGUGGAUAUCUUUUCAGGAGAUUUACGUGGCAUGUGUUACCAGUGGCUGGUUUAUUAAUGAAUGAUUUGUAAGGCUUGAUGUAAUCUAAAUUUUUGUUCUAAAAUUGAAACACCCAUAACUUUGCUAUUGUAGAAAUAUCGUUUUUUCAUUAAAAUAUAUAAAAUUUAUCCUCUAAAGUUAAACAUAAAGAAAUUUAUUUAGUAGACAAAUAUAAGGGGUGAAAGAAAUAGACCCCGACAUUUGUGUGUUCUUCAGUAAUACCGAUGGCAAAUUACAAUAUUUCCUCCCCUCCAAAAACAAACCCAAUGUGAAAAUGCACCACCAAGAUUUAUGAUAGAAAAAUGUGUAUUUUUGAUAGUAGCAAUUAGCUGUGAAAAUUACUUCAGAGCCCUAUUGACUAAUAUGACACAUAUUUAUAAGAACAAAAAAGAUACCAAAUUUAGAUUUAAAUUUGGAUAUUCAAUUAUAAACUAAGGACGAAUAUAAGAUUAUUCAAGGAGUGUAUGAGAGCAUGCAUAUCCAUUAAAGACAUACAUAUCCCCAAAGACUAGAUGAUGCCACAGAAUAAAGGAAAUACUAUUUAUGUUUGGAGAGGUUCAAUUCUUUCUUCUCUCAGUGUCUCAUGGAUUUCACUCUUAGGGCCAUUCUUAAAUCAUGAAUAGUUAAAAAAAAAUUAAACUGACAAAUAUCAAGCAAAUCUUGUUAGAAAAGCAAGUAUUUCCUUUGGAAUAAGGAAGACAAUUUAGAAAACCCAUUAACUUUUUCAGACCCCCUUAUAAUUUAUUUUACUUAAUGGCUAAGAAAUGUCUUUUUUAGAAUGACUUGGUCUAUAAUAAAGACAAAUGCAUUUUCAUAUUUUAUUAGUGAUAAUCUUACAAACAUAAGAACCAUUAACUUUUAUAAAAACAAAAGUUAAUUUUAUGGAAUUACUGGAAUAUUAGAUUUUUAUGUUGAAAACAAAUGAAAUAAAAUGGACUUAUUAUUUCAUUCACCAUCUUUAAAGCUAAAAUCUCUGAGGCAUAAAGUCUUACCAUUUGAUUUUAAACAUUAAACCCAGGAAUAUAAAGUAAGUUUUCUUGAUAGUUUCAUGUGAUUUAUACCUUUUUACUUUAAUUUUUUUUUCUCCUGUCAGGAAAUGGGAGAUUCAGGGCCUUUUCAAUAGAAGAAAGAAAUCACAAUAUUAAAGAUAAAUGCUUAACUGUAGCAAAGGGUACAAAAUUGUUUUUAAUGAAUUUGACCUCUUGCUUUUAUGAAGUUUGGUUUUUACGAUGUGUGGCUAAUAUGCUGGUCAUGCAGCUAAAAGCAUUAUCUUCACGUCAUUAUAUAGAAAUAUAACACUGGUAUACUUGAGUUUCCUAGUCAUGUUUCACUACUCUUAGCCAUUAUGUAUUUCUAUUGUUACUCUAAAUAAGAACUCAAAUUGACUUAUAUAAGAGAAAACAUUAAGCAAUUAAGUAAGAUUAUUGCUUUGAAAAGAAACCUUGAAAAAAAAAACCCCAAUAGUUUAGACCACCAAGGAACACUAAUAAAUUUAAGGAAAUAUGAGGUUUCCUCCAUGUGACUUCUCUUGAAGAGUUAUGCAAUAGAUUGCUGGAACUUCAAGGUCAUAUAACAAUUACGGUACUUUAAAAAUUAUUUUCUAAGUAGAGUUUGUAUUUUCAUGAUUUAUAUGUCAAUUAAACUUGCAAUUUACCAAGUAGCAGAAUCAAAUUCUUUGAAUCUUUGAUAUUUUUAUUAAGUACUAUUUUACAAAAUGAUCAAAUGCAGAAUUCUAACAACACAGAAACAUUAAAACACUACAAUAUGAACAAUCUAAACAUUCAUUUUUAAUAUGAAAAAUUAUUCUUAUUCCAAAAUAUCAUUAGCUACAAAUCAACAUUUAGCAAAUAAACAUUUGCUAUGGCUCAGAUAUCUAAAUUAAGAAAAUCUUUUUGAUAUUUGAUAUCUUAUAUCUUUGUAUUAAUUCUGAAUAAAAACUAAUAAUAUAUAUUUCUGACCAAAUGCAUCUUUAGUAUUAAAUUAUGUGACAAUUUAAAAUGUAAAAUUUUGUAAUUCCAUGUUUUCUAUAGGAAAGAAAUUAUGGUCUACUCCAUUCAGAUAGAAUAAAUGUGUGAACUAUACAUUAUACAUAUCUAAAAAAGUUUAAUCUGGAUGAAGUUCAGAUUAAAGAUAGAAAAGUGAUUAUAAAAUUAGAAUAGGAUUUAUAAAGAAAGUCUAAAGGGAGGGCUUGAAUUUCUUAAAGUCACAAAAGAAAAAACUCUGAGGAGUACAAAUAACCUUAUUUAAAUACAUGAGGAUUUAUUUUAAGGAGGACAGUGUCCAGCUGUUCACGUUUUCCAUGGGAGUUUCUCCAAUAGGAUAGAUUUCAAUGAAUAAAAGCUCUGUUCCUUAUAAUUUUUAAUAUAAUGGAAAAUUUAAAUAUCUAUGAUUAAUACAAUUUUGGAUCAAAGGACAGAAUUUGAGGGAACUUCUGAUGUUAAAAUUGCUUGAGACUGUGUUGUUAGUCAACUAAGGGAAGAGCCAAACAGUGAAAGACUAACCAGUGUUCUAGUAUGUUCAUAAUUUGACCCAGGUAGCAGUUUGAAAAAAAAAACUGAUGGAAAAUUAAGGAGUCCCAUUCCAAUUCCCAGAAUCACUAUGCAGAGAUUAGUUCCUGAUUCUAAAUUGUAGGGCAAAUGAAGUGUUUAUAGUGGUUCCACUUUCCUCACUGCCAGCACCCACUCUCUUCAACACCUAUAACGUUAUGAACAUUUAUCCUCACUCACUCCACAGCUCUUGCUCUCAGAUUCCAGCACAUCACUCAGUCAUUAAGGGGCAGAUGUGGUAUGCCAGUUGCUUCCAUGUCCUCAUGUGUCAGAUUCCUAUUCAUUCAUAGCAUGGUGUUUAAGAGUAUGGGCUCAGGGAUCCAGACUACCUUGCUUUGCAACUUGGCUCCUCUUGAUGGCUUUCUAACUUUGGGAGAGUUACCUUAGCCUCUCUGUGUCUCGGUUUUACCACUUUCAAAAUACACGCAUUUCCUACCUGGUGAGUUGUUGCAUGGAAAGAUAGAAGGAUGACCCCUGACACACUAUUGGUGCUCAAGAAAAUUUAGCCAUUGUUAAAAUAUACCACAGCCUGGGCUAUUGUAUUCUAGCUGGGGAGAGACUUUACACAAGUAACGCUAUACAUAAAUACGUAUUUCAACUUUGGAGAGGGCUAUAAAAGACAAGAAUAGGGUGUUACGGGAAAGAAUUCAGGGGGAAUCUAAUUCAGACUAGGGCGUUAGCAAAGACCUCUCUAAAGAGGGAAGACCUGUCUAAAAAUUCAGGUUGAGACUUCAAGGAUGAGAAGGAGCCAGAAAGGGAAGAAGGUUCCAGGUAAAGAAAGAACAGCAUCUCCCAGAGAGAUACUUUAUCUGUAAUGAGUAUGAUUCUUCGGGAAAAAGAGAAAUGGAAGAGAAGAGUACAGAAAUAUGUGUACCUCCUAUUCUUGCUGGUUGUGGAGAAUUUUCGGUAUCUGAGGGCACACGUAAAUACGGUGGAGAGAAUGUGGGCUCUAUUACAUGACAGUUGGGUUUGAAUCUUCGCUUAUGUGACUUCCAGGCUGUUUGACUUGGGGGAAAUAAUUUAACACCCCUGAGCUUCAGCUUUUUUUUUAUUGUAAAGGCAUGAUAACUUCUACUUCACAAGGUAUUUUCUUAAAAAAUGAAAAAUACAUUAAAUAAAAAUUUAAAGUUACUAGUACCCAGAUGGCACAUAUUUAUUAGUUGUUCACUAAUCAGCUCUUUUCUUCAUCAUGGUGGGGAUGGGUGGGAGGAGCAAUGAGCAUAUUGUUCCUGUACAUGAUGGUGCCAGCCUUGAAAUGCAUAAGGUCAACUCUAGCAAAAAUGAUAAUUCAAUGAUUCUACCUGAGCACUUAGACUUUUUCCAUUUUAAUAGGAAAAUUUUUUUUUUCUAUUUUGGUAGUUUCAGGUGGAAAACUAUAAUUGGAUAUAGUGUUUGUUUUUUUCUCCCUUAUUUGAUAGAAUGUGUGACAAGUGACUUUAGAGUGAGGGCUUUGGAGGAGGCAUUGCUGAUGGUACUUAGACUUUUCAUUUGCAGCUUUUGAAGUAAAGCUACAUGUUUUACUGGGUGGCUGGAGUUAUUGAAAUCAAAUUUAAAAAUUAAUUUAAAAAGGCAUCUCCUUCCUUAUGUAAAAAAAUCCUAUACAUAGACAUUUAAGUAUAUAAAUGGAGGCACUGUUUGUAUUUAUAUGUACUAUAUGUGAUUAUUAAAAAAAGAAAAUAGAAAUACAAGCACAUUAGCAAAAACUACAUAGAUAUUUCAAGAAUCAUCAAAUGGUUAAAAAAGCAAAACUCCUGAAGCAGCAAUCCAUCAGCCUAAUUAUGGACACAAAUGUCAGCAACAUCAACCAAUUGCCUUGCUCUUCUCUUUCUUAAAUAUUGCCAGAUGCAAAAAUAUUGUCUUUAUGUCACACAUAUAAGCCUAGACAGCAGGAAUCAGGGACUCAAAUGUGAAAUUGCCUAUCAAAAUUAGUAUGCAUGAUAUAAUAAACCUUGAAGUUUGUUUAUACUUAUAAGCAAAAUAUAAGGCCAUAUUGAUGUUUAUAUUAGAAAUCCAGAUAUCUGGUGGUCUAUAUUUUAUCACUGUGAAAACGAUAAAGGAAGUUUUGUUUUUUUUCUAUUGGAAAGUUGGCAAUCUUUCAAUUUUAAUAAAUGGUAGAUAUCAGAGAUGCAUGUAAGAUUGUCUGGGAGCCCCUCAAUAUACCAUGAAAUAUUAUUUUGUGUAAUAUUACACAGCAUUUCGAAACAGUCUUGAAGUAGGAAUAUGGCCUAAGUUAGAACUGCCCUUAUUAAUGCUGGAGUGACUUUGGCAUCCCCUGCUGCUGAGCUGGUUAAAACACAGAUAAAGCUGUUUUCUUUGAAUUGCCUGAUAUAAAUCUAAAUGGAGGUUAAAAAAAAAUCAUGGACAGCAUGAAGGACAGUUCAUUUUUCUUCUUUGACUGUAAGAGUUUUUUGUUUCUGUUGGCCAUGCUAAUGAUAAGACACUGGUCCAUUCUUCACAUAGAUUUGUAACAAACAAAUCUGGUCAUUUUACUUUGCCUCUUCAAAAUAACAACAAAGCAAAACUUUUUUACUCUUAUCACCUAUAAAAUAGGCCCAAAUAAUUUAUCAGGGGCCAUGAGACACUUUACAAUAUGGUCUUAACCUCUCUUUCCAGUCUCCGCUCUGUCAUUCCAUCUCAUGUUCGUGUCUUUCCAGCUAUGGUCAACUCUGAUGCUCUCUUGGCUUUCAUAUCCUGAUGCAUUUGCAUUUGUUUGUUCCCUCUGCUUUGAAGAUCGUUCCCAUCUAGUUUCUAUGGAAUAACUUGUUGAUCGUUUAAGACCAGCUCCAGCACUUCUGCAAAGUCCUCCUUGACUCCAGAGUUUAGCAAGCAUGUCUUUUUCUUUUCAUCCUAGUACUUUCCAGGUAUUGCUAGGACACCAUACUACCAUCAUAUCACUUUGUGUUGAUUAUACCUACCAGUCUCCCUACCCCAUACAGAAGAAAUCUUAGAUGGAAAUCAAGUUUUAUUAUUCUUUGAUUGCACCUCAGCACUUAGCUCAAUGACUGAUAACUCUAGGUAUUCAAAUAUUCAGUGUGUGGGUUAAUAGUAGACUCUAAGACCUAUACCUCAAUUUCAUGAAUUUCAUCUAUCUUUACACAAUUAUCUUCUCUUUCAAAACAUACCAAUAUCAAAUAAGUCAUUUAAAAUGGUUUACCCGCCUGUAAUCCCAGUACUUUGGGAGGCCAAGGUGGAUGGAUCAGGUGAGGUCACGAGUUUGAGACCAGCCUGGCCAACAUAGUGAAACCCUGUCUCUAUAAAAAUACAAAAAUUAGCUGGGCGUGAUGGUGCAUGCCUGUAAUCCCAGCUACUUGGGAGGCUGAGGCAGGAGAAUUGCUUAAAGCCAGGAGGUGGAGGUUGCAGUGAGCUGAGAUCACACCAUUGCAUUCCAGCCUGGGCGACAGGGCGAGACUCCGUCUCAAAAAAAUAAAAUAAAAUAAAAUAAAAUAAUUUACCUAGAAAAGAUAUUAGAGUAAGGCUUCAGUUAAAAACAGAAUGUUAACAAUUUCUAUUUGAUAUUAGUAGAAAAAAGAAGCAUCUUGCUAAAAUGUAUAAUAAACAGUUAUGUUAAACCUUCCUCUGAUAGUAACAAAUAAUGGUCUAUAAAAUAUUGGUCUAAAAUUGUUUUUCAAGUUGUAGACUAAUCCAAGCAGUGCUCCAGGCAAAAAUCAAAAGUAAUUAUUUCCUGUUUUGAGUUUUUAAAAAUGUUGUACUUUACCACCAUGUUCUUUUUGAUGAUAAAUAUGUAAAAGAGAACUCAUGGUAGCAUAGAAGUCCUGGAAUCACUUCCCAAGAUUAAUGUCACUAGAAAACAUCAGGCAAAGUAUUAAGCGGUAACACUAGACAAUUUGUUUUUCUUUGUAACUACUUGUCUAGAUCUUCAGAGCAAAAACACUAAUAAAAGUCAGUCAUCAUUAUGAUGUCAUUCUCAUAAUUUCCUUAGAAAUAAACUAGCAAGUACAAAAAAUAUUUAUAAUGUACGACAUCAUCUAUGUGCCUUUCCAUUGCUCAAACUUUGGAUUAGAGUUAGUGAGAUUUCCUGUUUGUUAUAAAGAACACACUCUGAAUGAAAUAAAAUACAUUAAUAAAAGCUCUCUGAAAUCAAA